rnacentral:lncRNA from 1 species
CGAGGAGAUCCGGGAGAAGUGCGGCGAGGACGCCGUGCACUACCUGUCCUUCCAGCGGCACAUCAUCGGGCUGCUGGUGGUGGUGGGCGUCCUGUCCGUCGGCAUCGUCCUGCCCGUCAACUUCUCCGGAGACCUGCUGGAAAACAACGCCUACAGCUUCGGACGGACCACGAUAGCCAACCUGAAGUCCGGGACCAACCUGCUGUGGCUCCACACCUCCUUCGCCUUCAUGUACCUGCUGCUGACCGUCUACAGCAUGAGGAGACACACGUCCAAGAUGCAC